GUAAUUACCGUCGUUGAUUUAUAUGUUGGGCAUUUGCUUGGUUGUAUAAGGUGAAUUAAUGUCGAAAAAUACGGCAUACAUUUGUGACAAAGUUCUAACAACAUAUAUACAUAUAUAUCGUUUGUUUUAGCGCGUGUUUACACGCAAUCCAUUCUAAUGUCGUACAAGACAAAGCAACAUCUAACAUUGUGUUUCCCCUUUCUUUUCUAUGUGAUUUGACGAAAAUUGACGAUGACCUGUGCUGCUGUCAAACAUGGAUGGUCGCCCUGAACCGUGAAAUGUGUUUAUGGUAUAUCAAAAAUCUACGAAACACCGUGUGUAUCCACCGUUUAAACGGGAAUCGGUGGCAUUUUCUUCGAUGAUUACCGACAUACUCUCGACUGCUCUGACUAAAACCUACCGAAAACAAAAAACGAACCAAACACAAACAAUUUAACCGCGAUAAUAUCGACUAUUAAUCAAACGUUUGUGAUGAUUAGGACCCAAAGUCUUUCAUGGAUGCUUAUAACACUAUGGAUCGUGGUAGCCGAGGGGGUUACAAUGACGAUCGUGCUCAGAUAAUGGAUUUGAUGGAUAUGAGGGUCGAUAUGGGUAAUAUGGGAGGUGGUCGUGGAGGCGGUGGUGGUAGUGGACGUUGGCAAGGUGGAAAUGAUCGAAAUCGUCAGGACGAUUAUCCUAAUAAAAGGAGACGUUACUAAAACAAAAAAAUCGUUACAGUAUUAUGUAUCUCCUCCACGUCGAGUUUGAAACGAUAUUUUCCGAGAUAGUUCGCAUUGUAUUCUUCAAUCAUUUCUCCACACGUUUUGCUGUAGAAUGUCUCUCAUAUUUUUGAUAACUAUCAUUGGGUGGGGAGAACGAUAAAUGAUACAUCAACAAGGAUACAUAAUAGAGUAUGGCAAAAAAUGGAUGAGUGAAUAUAUGGUGGUCAAGCGAUUUUUAUAUAUUUCGUAUUAGAUCUGACGUCGUGGAUAUCACAAAUCGUUUCCGAACAAAGAAACUGCUGUGUUUUUAUACAGUUUUUAAGUUCUCAGAAUAUUAAUGAACUUAGUAGAACUCGCGAGCAAAACGAAGUGCAAGAGAAAAAUGUCUUCUAGUCAUUUGUGGUACUAACUGCUAGCAUCUCACUGGAAGGAUGCGAAAUUGAAAGUUCACACUGGUGGGCACUGACAAUGUUCACAAUUAACACGACUACAAAUAGGUUUCCAAUUACGCCCUUUUAUUAAUCGCGAAGCAUUAAAUCUGGACCGUACGGUUUUUUUAUUUUAACAUAGAAGCAGUUCUCUUCUCUAAAAAUAUAGAGACGCCAUGAACAAACAGAAAAGAAAACUUAGUUUACAGUGCUAUACUGUAGACCCUACCAUGAUAGAAUAAUACGAUAAUAUGUAGAAACGAUGCAUAUUCAUUGUGUCAAUUAGUAGUAUUUUAAACAAAAACAAAAUCUCAGGGGAGGGUAUUUUAUUUUACGAAAGAAUGUGUGUAAAUAUUCAAAACGACGUAAUAUAUUAAUUUUUGUCAUUUAUUGUAUCAUCAUAUCGUCGCUAUUCAUAGUUUAUCAAUUAAUUUGAUUCGUUACUUUUCCCAAAGUGAAAAUAAUAUACUUUGAAGUAGUACCUUUUGCUUUGUACGAAUACAUGGACACAUUAGUCUAUAAGUGAGAAUGCGUUAAUCCAGACCGAGACCAACACAGCAGUAGUUAAAUAUAAAUAGCCGAUCUUUCUAUAAGAUUAGAAAUUGCACGGAUUCGCCCUGCAUUAUGACAAUUUUAGCUGCCGCAGUAUCGAUAUUCGUACAUACGUGUUUUUAAGCUUAAUUAAUGGUGUCAACUUCACCAUGUAAAAGAUAUGAUCCUCAUUACUUAAAUCUUCAUAAAAAGUUAUUAUGUUAGAAUAAGUCGUACAUCAACAGAGUAAAUUUACAAUUGUGCUACUCGAAACUUUGUGAAGGAACUUCAUUGACAAAGAGUAAUUUUAUGAAUAAAGGUCUACAUACCAUCUAUACGUAGGAACUAUUUAUUUAAUUAUUAAUUAUCGUAAUUAUUGGAGCAUUGGAAACAUAAGCGUGUUUAAAAGUAUAUAUGAAAAUUUCAGUGCUUUCAAUAUAGAUUAUACCCAUUUUAGAUAGUUUCAUAUACUUUUUCUAGGCGUAUAUUUACCAAGUUUCUCAAAUUAUCGCAAAGAAAGAAAUUCUCUUUCAGGCUGAAGAGGGUUACGUGUCAGAAAUAUAAAUCAUUUGCAUGUCCACUUUUACGGAAAAGUGACACCUGCUAAUUAUACAAAACAACUUCGGUUGUUGGUAUCAUCAACUAAUUGGCAUUGAGAUUCCUUUUGCAUAGCGUUCACACUAUUUUCCUUUUAUAGUUACAGUGUAAUCAUUUUUUAGGUGACGUAUUUUCAUGAAAGACUAUAGAUUGAAAAUAGUGAAAGGAGAAUGUUAUAUCAUUUAUUCCAAUUUAUUGGGGAACGUUGAAUAUAACCCCCCCCCCCCUCCCCCCAACAAGAUGAUAUUUACAUACCGGAGUUUUAUAUCUUUAAUCACUGAUUGAAAACUGAUUUAAUUCAGCUAUACUACUUUGCGUGGGUAUAAACUACAUGAAAGUAUUCAUACAACAUACUUUGAAAUUAUUAUACCAGGUUAAUAGUUAGUUGAAACUUGCUUGUACUAAUGUUAGAAACAUUACUCCCAACGUGAAAAAUUUAGCAUCAUCAAGUGCUCUUAAAUAGAUUGUAUAUUUGUUGAGAUUAAAUCAGUCCUCUUUAUGGGAGGACGUAUAUGCAUAUCUCUAUGCGUGCUCAAUGGAGCCCCAACGAAAUUCCUUUAACGGUAAUACACGCUAUACAUGUGACUGAAUUAAGAAAAACUAUAUCGUGAUCUCAUCGUAAUCGUUUCUGAAAAUUUUUGAGGACAAUUUGCGGAUACGUGCAUGCAUUUUUGUGAAAAAAAUGUUCAUGUUUUCUCUCGAAGAAAACAACUGCUCGAGUACACGCACUUGCCCGCAAUGGUACAAAAUAAUGCACGGUAUAAGCUGAAAUGAACAUUUCUUAAUCAAGAGUCUUUUAACGAAGGAGAGACAACAAUGACAAGAUAGGCUUACUUACUUGAAACUACUAGUCAAUGAAUCUACUGGUAUGAGAUGUUUGUAGCGGUUGCUGGCUGAAGACAUAUACAAGGAACAUAUUAGAAACGAAAGUGUACUGAAACUCUACAACCUAUGGGAUGCAGCAUAUUACUUUAUGAAGCGGAUCUCUACAUUUGAAAUAUAGAACCAUGUAAUAAUAAGUAGGACGAAAUGCUUCGAAUGGGAUUUGGAAGACUAAGGAAGUUUUCACAAAAGCAUGGUAUAAGUGAUACGAAUAUGAAUAUUUGAUAUGAAAGUACAAAAAUACAACGUACAAUGAAUUACUCUUAUUAUUGUACGAAAAUUACGAAUCUGAAUCUCUUCUACUUAAGAAUCCUCUUCCUCUUUU